ACGCUGGCGGCACGCCUAACACAUGCAAGUCGAACGAAGUAGCAAUACUUAGUGGCAGACGGGUGAGUAACAUGUAGGUAUCUGCCCUUUGGCCUGGAAUAACACGAGGAAACUUGUGCUAAUACCGGAUAAGUCUUUACGGAGAAAGCUUUAUGCACCAUUGGAUGAGCCUGCACUUGAUUAGUUUGUUGGUGGGGUAAUGGCCUACCAAGACUGUGAUCAAUAGCUGAUUUGAGAGGAUGAUCAGCCACAUUGGGACUGAGACACGGCCCAAACUCCUACGGGAGGCAGCAGUGGGGAAUCUUGCACAAUGGAGGAAACUCUGAUGCAGCGAUGCCGCGUGAGUGAAGAAGGCCUUUGGGUUGUAAAGCUCUUUCGUCGGGGAAGAAAAUGACUGUACCCGAAUAAGAAGGUCCGGCUAACUUCGUGCCAGCAGCCGCGGUAAUACGAAGGGACCUAGCGUAGUUCGGAAUUACUGGGCUUAAAGAGUUCGUAGGUGGUUGAAAAAGUUAGUGGUGAAAUCCCAGAGCUUAACUCUGGAACUGCCAUUAAAACUUUUCAGCUAGAGUAUGAUAGAGGAAAGCAGAAUUUCUAGUGUAGAGGUGAAAUUCGUAGAUAUUAGAAAGAAUACCAAUUGCGAAGGCAGCUUUCUGGAUCAUUACUGACACUGAGGAACGAAAGCAUGGGUAGCGAAGAGGAUUAGAUACCCUCGUAGUCCAUGCCGUAAACGAUGUGUGUUAGACGUUGGAAAUUUAUUUUCAGUGUCGCAGGGAAACCGAUAAACACACCGCCUGGGGAGUACGACCGCAAGGUUAAAACUCAAAUGAAUUGACGGGGACCCGCACAAGUAGUGGAGCAUGUGGUUUAAUUCGAAGAUACGCGCAGAACCUUACCAACACUUGACAUGUUCGUCGCGACUCUAAGAGAUUAGAGUUUUCGGUUCGGCCGGACGAAACACAGGUGCUGCAUGGCUGUCGUCAGCUCGUGUCGUGAGAUGUUGGGUUAAGUCCCGCAACGAGCGCAACCCUCACUUUUAGUUGCCAUCAUUAAGUUGGGCACUCUGAAAGAACUGCCAGUGAUAAGCUGGAGGAAGGUGGGGAUGACGUCAAGUCCUCAUGGCCCUUACGUGUUGGGCUACACACGUGCUACAAUGGUAUCUACAACAGGAAGCAAGACUGCGAAGUUAAGCAAAUCCCUAAAAGAUACCUCAGUUCGGAUUGCACUCUGCAACUCGAGUGCAUGAAGCUGGAAUUACUAGUAAUCGUGGAUCAGCGUGCCACGGUGAAUGCGUUCCCGGGUCUUGUACUCACCGCC
rnacentral:rRNA from 1 species